CCUACGUGAGACAGCAGUGAGGAAUAUUGGUCAAUGGGCGAGAGCCUGAACCAGCCAAGCCGCGUGAAGGACGAAGGUGCCAAGCAUUGUAAACUUCUUUUGUCAAGGGACAAAAUCAGGCUCGAGAGCCUGACCGAGGGUACUUGAAGAAAAAGCAUCGGCUAACUCCGUUCCAGCAGCCGCGGUAAUACGGAGGAUGCGAGCGUUAUCCGGAUUUAUUGGGUUUAAAGGGUGCGUAGGCGGACUGUUAAGUCAGCGGUAAAAGCCCGGGGCUCAACCCCGGCGAGCCGUUGAAACUGGCUGUCUUGAGAUGUCGAGAGGUAUGCGGAAUGCGCAGUGUAGCGGUGAAAUGCUUAGAUAUUGCGCAGAACUCCGAUUGCGAAGGCAGCAUACCGGCGGCGAUCUGACGCUGAGGCACGAAAGCGUGGGUAUCGAACAGGAUUAGAUACCCUUGUAGUC
rnacentral:rRNA from 1 species